UACGUAGGGGGGCAAGCGUUGUCCGGAAUUAUUGGGCGUAAAGCGCGCGCAGGCGGUUCUUUAAGUCUGGUGUCUAAGUGCGGGCUCAACCCCGUGACGCACUGGAAACUGGGGGGACUUGAGUGCAGAAGAGGAGAGCGGAAUUCCACGUGUAGCGGUGAAAUGCGUAGAGAUGUGGAGGAACACCAGUGGCGAAGGCGGCUCUCUGGUCUGUAACUGACGCUGAGGCGCGAAAGCGUGGGGAGCAAACAGG
rnacentral:rRNA from 1 species